rnacentral:lncRNA from 1 species
ACGAACCUGACUAAUAUCCAUGAGGAUGCAGGUUCUAUUCCUGACCUUGCUCAGUGGGUUAAGGAUCCUGAGUUGCUGUGAGCUGUGGUGUGGGUCGAAGAUGCGGCUCAGAUCCGGAGUUGCUGUGCUUGUGGCAUAGGCUGGCAGCGAUAGCUCUGAUUUGACCCCUAGCCUGGGAACCUCCAUAUGCCAUGGGUGCAGUCCUAAAAAGACAAAAAAAAAAAAAAUUUUAAAUGUAAACAUUUAGCUAUUUGUGCAUUUUUCCUUCUUACUUAUCUUCCCCUGCUUUCCCCCUUUAUGAAGAAGGAUUAAAAAAUCCAUACUUCUAAGUGCUGAGAUGAUCCGAUAGACCUCUGGUUUUCAGCUCUACUGUGGAAAAGAAUCUAUACAGGUGACCCUUGAACAAAGCAGGGGUUGGGGCACUGAUCUUCCAUCCCAAUGAAAACUCACAUGUAAUUUAUAGUCACCCCUCUAUAUCCACAGUUCUGAUCCAAGGAGUCAAAAAACCAAGGAUCAGGACUCAAGCAAUCAGGGUGUGUAGUGCUGUAGUAUUUACUUUUGAAAAAUUCCGCAUGUAAGUUCACCCAUGCAACUUGAACCCAUAGUGUUUAAGAGUCACCUAUACUCCAUUGUGGAGCCUGACACUGGCUCUCUCAUCCUAGAAAUUCAGGAAAGCAUCCCCACCAGAAAAAAAGGAGGGCAGCAAAAAAAGAAGGGCAGCUUGUGUAUAAAAUUGUGGAAUUAUGUGGUUUUUUUCCUCACAUACAUUAAUUGUACUUUUCAGCUAAUUUUUCCUCCUAAAAACUAUUAUUACAUAAUUCAAAAUUCAUUACCUCGUAAAGCUGCAAUUCACUUUUCUAACUUUCUAAUUCACUUAUUUUGUUCAGGGUAACACACAAAAGAAGAAAUUGAGUGAGAUUUAUAUUCUCCUUUAGUGGCAGGAUCAAAAUAAAGGAACACUGGAUAGAAAAGAGGGACUUUGUGUCAGAAAUCUUUUAAUCACAAGUAGCAGACAUCUAGAGUUGAAUGGACUUAUAAAAAAGGGGUGAAGUAGUGUCUUACAUAACUAAGAGUCCUGAAGUAACCAGGUGAAGAUUAAUUCCAUAGAUCAACAAUGUUCCCUGAAGAACCCAUUUCUUCCCUUCUCCCUGUCUUCUCUAUCAUCUUCAGCUGGCUGUUCACAAUAUUUUCUCCCUAUUUCCUCCCUAUUUCUAUCUAAUAGGAAAAUAUAGCAUACCUUGAAAAAUUUCUUUUAGAGGACAGCAAAUUUCUUAACACAAUUCUCCCAACAUAAGUCUACAUAAGCAAAUGCAUCUGGGUGUCUAAAUGGUCCAGUUGGUCAUGUUCUCUGAACAAAUCACCAUGCCAGGAGGAUGAAGCCAGAGAACCACAACUCAUCUAUUGCCCCAUACACACUCCAGGAGGAGAUAUUUCUCUGCCUUAAUUAUCCCAGGACCAGGUACCAGGAAACUGGGACAUAUCUCAUAGCUUAGAGUUUAAGGAAAUUAUUCAAACUAGACAGUCUUAAAUGGUUCAUCCUGUCUGAUAUUUCCUGAAGAGACUCCAAUAAAGGCUCUAGUCUCAGACGUGCUCUUGUCACCUGACCCUUGGCAUUUACCCUGUGGCCCUAUGUAGCAUUUAGUGACCCCUGUCUAGGACUCUGAGGAUAAUAAACUCUUUUCCUGAAACUUCCUGUGUCUCCUCUUGUGGCAGAGCCUGAUUGACUAUCACAUAACAGGACACGGAAAAGUCCAUUAGUAGACUGAUUUUAUAUCUCAAGAGAAUAGACAUUUAGGCACAAGGAUUGUAUGAGAAUGACAUUGUACUAAGUUAUCCACAAGUUAUGGAAUAACGACAGGUCAUGACCUGUAUCCUGUCAUGAUGACCAGUCUGUGGGUGUGAUAUGCCCAGAAAGGACUGAGAGUAGUAGUCUUAGCUCCAGAGACCCUCCAGAGAUCUCGCACAUGGUCCUACAAUGGUGCUACCUUCAGCAGAACUCAGGGUCCACAGUAUAUAUCUUAGAGAAAAUUCCAGAUGUUAGGAUGUCAAAAGAUCUUCCCUUAAACAAUGAUUUUUUUCAUUGUAGUGUAUAGAAUGUAUAACUCUUACUCUACCAACCUAAACAUUUAAGAGCCUUCACAUUCCUCUAUUUUCUUUGAAUCAAACUAAAUCCAGUUAAUUUCUUUGGUAAAGACAGAGAAUAUAAUUUUAGACAUUAGCAAGAUUUUUUCAUCUAGUUUACCUCCUCCUCCCGACUUUCCCACCUUUACAUCUCUCUCCUUUCCUUACUCCCUUCAAGUAGUCUUUAAGAGUUUAUAUCUCAGAAAAAUUUUAUUACACUUUGAAAUAAAGACCUUCACUGCCAUAAGGGAAUGUUAGCAUCUGACCGAAUUCAGUAGGAAGGGGGAAAAUGCAAUAUGAAUAAAUAAAAUUAAUGAGUCAAACCAUUAUAUUGCCACGUUACCAUGCAAUAUAUUCUAGAAAGCGUUAACAUUAAGAUUCCUGUAAUGUAUUAUUUCUCCAGCACUUGGAAUGGAUUGCCAAAGGAAAGUAUGCAAGAGCCUUUCCUGGAGGUCUUAAUGAUAAGCCUGAGAAUUUCCUAACAUAGAGGUUUAGGAGUGCCUUACAGUUCUUCAAAUUCCUCUGCUUCUCUCAGCCUCCAGAAUUUUCUAUGCAAGGAAUGCUUUCCCCUCCACUCUUCACCUAGUAAGUCCUAUGCAUUCAAAUGAUUUGAACUCAGAAGUGACCCUCCCUGAACCAAACGAUGCCAGCACAUCCUGUCCUUUUCCUUAGCAUACAUAGAGUUUGCAAAUAGAAUGUGUAUGCCAUUAACAGGUUAAUAUCUACUCUCCCUGCUAGACAGUCAGACUCAUGUGGCCAAGUACCAUGUUCUCUUUCCAAAUUCCAGUGCAGUGCCCUUUAUAGAACAUGUGUUCCGUAUAUGUUAACCAAAUCAGUGAACAUAGACUCAUUUCACUCAGAAGAAAGAAAAUGUCUUAGAAAUAAAAGAGAGAAAAAAAUUAUUUUGAGUGCCCAGAAGUAUGACAGACUUAUUAUUUUAUUCUCACAGCAACCUAAAAUGGUAGAUGACAGUAUCCCCAUUUUGCAGAUGAGAAAACUGAAACUUCAGAAAUCCACUUACUUGAGAUCACGGUCAGAAGAUACCAAGAAUAGCCAGAGCAACUCUUGUGUGUUUUUCUAUGGUCCCAUUAUCAAAAUCAUUUGCCUCUUUCAUUGACAGCUUCUGAGGCAGUGAAAGCGGGGAAUGCAAAAUAGUAUUUUUUCCAUAGAUGGAAUAGACAAAAAAGGAAUCAUACUGAUGAGAAAAAAUAAAGAAAAAGACAUUGAAACUAGCUCUGAAAAUCUAAUGAGAAGUGUCAUUGUUUCCUGUGUUUACCCUCUCCCUUCAUCAUGGGUAAGAAAUCAACACUGACUCUAGAUCUUCAUAGAGGACAAAGUUGUAUGUAAUGGGAAGUUCAAUGUUCUCUGAAGCCUGGUGUGCUUGUUUCUACAAAGUCAAAGGGACCAUUGCUAUACUGAUACUCAGAGAUUUACUUUUUUUUUUUUAAUGUUUUUUAAUUGUAAAGGCCAAACAUCUGCAUAUGGGUAAUUCAGAGAUUUACUUUUUUUUUUUUUUUUUUUUUCUUUUUAGGGCCACAGCUGUGGCAUAUGGAAGUUCCUGGUCUGGGGUCAAAUGAGACCUGCAGCUUCAGCCUAUGCCACAACCAUGGCAAUCUCAGAUCUGAGCCACAUCUUAUGGCAGCUUGUGGUAAUGCCAGAUCCUGAACCUACUGAUCAAGGCUAAGGAUGGAAUCUGCAUCCUUAUGGACACUAUGUCAGGUUCUUAACCUGCUGAGCCUCAAGGGGAACGCCUACAUUUCUUCCUUGUAUAUGAUUUUACCAGGGUGGCUUUUUUCCAAGUGUCCUUGUAGAAAGUAUAGGACUACGCAAGGUUUACAGCCAUCGCUAGGCCUGCCAACGUGAGGGGCAUUUCCACCAAGCAUGCUGAUCAGCGUUCACUGGCCCCAGCAGUGCUAAUUUUGUGGAAUGUGCCAAGUUCUCUGCUUUAUGUCUGCUUCAGCCUUUCAAGCAAAGGAUCGUUUUUAGCGGAUGCCCUUGUCAGCUGUUUCUCUGAGAAUAGGGCCUUUGAUAACAUCCAGAAAAAAAGUAAUUGUGCCACCGCCCCUGCUUCAUUUACAUAACUGAGAUUGAUGAGAAGGGAAGGAAAGUGUUUACAGUGCAGGAAGAUAGGAAUUUCGGGAUUAAGUAGGAAGCAAACCGAAAUGAGCUGUCUGGGGUAAUUAUGAAACACAUACUUCAUAUGUUUUCAUUAGAUAUUGCUAUUAUACUACACAAGGCAACAGAGUUUGAUUAAACUAUAGUUUGGUGUAUAAAUGUAUGCAUAAAUUACAGGGAAAGUAUUUACUUCAUUACAUUUCAAGAACCCUACAGGGACAUUAAAUAAGUAGAAAUUUAGUCAUUAGUUAUACAGCAUUAGAAUAAAACCAUGGACAGGCAAGGAGAAUGGAGUCACCAAAAGGCUAAGUGUGCCCACCAAACAAGGCCAGUAAAACUUGAGGAUGGGGGAUUAAAAAAAUAAAAGCCAUGGUGGCAAUAAAGUACACAUUAUAAAAAGCCACUACAACUUCAUGGUUAUUAUUGGUAUCUAUUGAAAACAAUAUACUUGAAAUAAUCUUUGUGUAAGUUAUAUGAACUAGUCUGCUACUAUGAUGUUUACGCUUUUUUCAAUGCCCAAUACACAAUGAAUGUGUCCUCACUGUCCUAGGAUAUCUUUGAGAAAGACUUGGAGAGCCACUGCUAUUCCUCAGGUAGUCAAAAGUGACUUUCAUCUUCCCUGUUUAGUCCUUUGUCCAUAAACCACCCACAUCUGGUCCAUCGGAAGCUCUGCCUGAGUCUUAUCUUGUAUUAGAGGUAAAGGAAAAAUAUGUUUUCUCGAGCCCCAGCCAUAAGUAUUCUCUCUCCUCCCCAAACACUUAUUGCUGUUUUCCUUAGUUAGCCGCUGUAUCAAAUGGAACUGAUUUAUUAUAUUCACUCAACAAAUAUUCUUUCCACAAAUAUUUGCCUACCAAGGGAAAGACAGAAUGUUUUACUUUCUUAGGCUGCUCUGUAACAAGUUACCACAAACUUGGUGGCUGAAAACAAAGAAAUGUGUUGUUUCAUAAUUCUGGAGGCCAGACGUCCAAAAUCAAGUUGGUAGGUUGAUUCCUUCUGGAAAUCAUGAGGGAGAAACUGUCCCAUGCCUCUUCCCCACGUCUUGUGUCUGUUGGCAAUCCUUGGCCCUUAUUGGCUUGCAGACACAAGGCUUCAAUCUCUGCCCAGUCUUUGCAAUGCUUUCUUCCCUUUGUCUCCCCCUUUUCUGUGCUAUAUAAGGACACUCUCAUGGAUUGAGAGCCCCCCAAAUCCACCAGUUUCAUGUCUUCAUUAGACCUGUAAAGUCUUGUACCUUAUUCCAAAUAAGUUCACAUUCGAAGGUGAACAUACAUUUUUUGGAAACACUAUUAAAUUACUGCACAUAUUAAAUUGGAUUUGACUUAAGAAAUUAUCAGAGUUUUAGAUUACAAGUUGGAGGCUUGCUAAAUGUCCCACAGAUAUUUAGCAUGUUAGGUGGGCGUGAACAAAGUCCUGAUUGAAGCUCAGGAUCAGAGCUUUUGCCAAUUCCUCUGAUGUAAUGGGAUGACUCAGAACAGUGUCUUCAAACUGUGGGUAGGAGAAUUCUAGGUUUCCCAAGAGGCAUCUAGCAAUAGGGGCUGAAAUGGUUAGAGGGCCCUCUAGGUAAAUGAUCCUUCAACUGGAGUGGGUGGGCUUUUCCCUGUCUUAUGUACUGGGGUUCAGC